rnacentral:misc_RNA from 1 species
UAAAAACGAGCGAAUCUUGAAUUACAACAUCAAAAUAAACCUUUUGAACCAAAGCACAACAAACAUGAACAUGUUAACAAGAGAAAUUGUAACACAAAUCAUCUACCCUCUAAUAAUCUCUCUCCAUUAAAACUAAACUAAACACAAACCACAUCCAAAGUACAGCAUAGAGAGCUGAACCAUUUUAUUUUCAUAUUUCACUAAAUUUUACUCUAUGCACCAAACACCAUUGUUUAUGCCCCCUCAUGAAGCAACAUCUGAUCAAAGUGCCAAACUCCGUGUCCCUUGCCUACUCUUCUUAGCUGAGCAACAUACUCUGAGAUUUUCUUGAUUGCUUCUAUCUGCUCUCCCAAAAAUUCGCUUUCGAUAAACUCGGUCAUCUGCACGUCGUGAUUCUCUUCAGCCACCUUGUGCAAGUGGAGUAACUUUUCAUUUGUUAGCUUCUCAAGGGACAAAGCAAGCUCCAUUGCAUAUAAGGCAUCUCCCUUUUGCUCAUUGUCAUACUCACACAAAGGCUUAAUCAAACACUCCAGUGUCACUCGUCCACCACGUUUGUUCUGAUAUUCCAUCAAUUUCUCAGCGUGAUCCCUCUCUUCUUCCCAAUUCCUGAUAAUUCUUGGAG